rnacentral:rRNA from 1 species
UGGGGAAUAUUGCACAAUGGGCGAAAGCCUGAUGCAGCAACGCCGCGUGAGUGAUGAAGGCCUUCGGGUUGUAAAGCUCUGUCUUUUGGGACGAUAAUGACGGUACCAAAGGAGGAAGCCACGGCUAACUACGUGCCAGCAGCCGCGGUAAUACGUAGGUGGCAAGCGUUGUCCGGAUUUACUGGGCGUAAAGGAUGCGUAGGCGGAUUUUUAAGUGAGAUGUGAAAACCCUAAGCUUAACUUGGGGACUGCAUUUCAUACUGGAAAUCUAGAGUGCGGGAGAGGAGAAUGGAAUUCCUAGUGUAGCGGUGAAAAUGCGUAGAGAUUAGGAAGAACACCAGUGGCGAAGGCGAUUCUCUGGACCGUAACUGACGCUGAGGCAUGAAAGCGUGGGUAGCAAACAGGAUUAGAUACCCUGGUAGUCCACGCCGUAAACGAUGAGUACUAGGUGUAGGAGGUAUCGACCCCUUCUGUGCCGCAGUUAACACAAUAAGUACUCCGCCUGGGAAGUACGAUCGCAAGAUUAAAACUUAAAUGAAUUGACGGGGUCAUAGCUGUUUCCU